rnacentral:rRNA from 1 species
GACGAACGCUGGCGGCGUGCCUAAUACAUGCAAGUUGAGCGCUGAAGGUUGGUACUUGUACCGACUGGAUGAGCAGCGAACGGGUGAGUAACGCGUGGGGAAUCUGCCUUUGAGCGGGGGACAACAUUUGGAAACGAAUGCUAAUACCGCAUAAAAACUUUAAACACAAGUUUUAAGUUUGAAAGAUGCAGUUGCAUCACUCAAAGAUGAUCCCGCGUUGUAUUAGCUAGUUGGUGAGGUAAAGGCUCACCAAGGCGAUGAUACAUAGCCGACCUGAGAGGGUGAUCGGCCACAUUGGGACUGAGACACGGCCCAAACUCCUACGGGAGGCAGCAGUAGGGAAUCUUCGGCAAUGGACGAAAGUCUGACCGAGCAACGCCGCGUGAGUGAAGAAGGUUUUCGGAUCGUAAAACUCUGUUGGUAGAGAAGAACGUUGGUGAGAGUGGAAAGCUCAUCAAGUGACGGUAACUACCCAGAAAGGGACGGCUAACUACGUG